GCGUCGUGGAACUGGUCGACAACAGCCACAAUUCUCUUCAACCGCUGUGAACAAUAACCACUUUCUUUAAUUGUGGAGUCUACGAUCAUGCAUUCUACAGGGUGUACAUAAAAACGACGUUUGGAAAUUAAACUACUGUAAAAUUUCGAAACCCAAUCACUGUGCUAACCUCACUAGUGCAUUACAUUUUCAAUGAAGGAAAAUCUUUUGUGCUUGCAUCAACGUAGCUAACAAUGUUCCAUGCACCUGUGGGCUUGGCAUAGUGACAGACAUUGAAAUUAUACAAAGGUCUUCAAUGGUAAAUGAAGGCUGACAAACUAGUUUUGCACACAUCAAAGGAAUGAACUGGAUAGAAAAAUAUUAUGAGAAGCGCGGGAAAGAUCGCCAAAACGUCAUAUGACGUAUUGAUGAAAAUUCGUCACGUGUCAAGUCGUAUAAACAUUCGCCAGCAAGAGCCGGGUGACGCGGGAUAUGUAAAUUGAUCAAAUCGUGCUGAGAUAGCACAACAUUUAAUAGCAUAACAUCCUACAAGUUUUACCUUUUAACCAUUAUAUGCAGAAGGAACAGUUUGUUUUGUCGUUGUCGUCGUUGAAACAGAUGAUACCGUUGAAGUUUGCCUGUAAAAUAUUUGCUGAAAGUUUAGAGAAAAAUUGAUAAACUAUUCAUGAAAUAA